rnacentral:rRNA from 1 species
UACGGAGGGUGCAAGCGUUGUUCGGAAUCACUGGGCGUAAAGGGCGUGUAGGCGGCCUGCUAAGUCUGAUGUGAAAUCCCCCCGCUCAACGAGGGAACUGCGUCGGAAACUGGCAGGCUCGAGUACCGGAGAGGAAGGUGGAAUUCCCGGUGUAGCGGUGAAAUGCGUAGAUAUCGGGAGGAAUACCAGCGGCGAAGGCGGCCUUCUGGACGGUGACUGACGCUGAGACGCGAAAGCGUGGGGAGCAAACAGGG